rnacentral:rRNA from 1 species
GGGUCAUGACUGGGGUGAAGUCGUAACAAGGUAGCCGUAUCGGAAGGUGCGGCUGGAUCACCUCCUUU